GGAUUGUAGGCUGAAACUCGCCUACAUGAAGUCGGAAUCGCUAGUAAUCGCGGAUCAGCAUGCCGCGGUGAAUACGUUCCCGGGCCUUGUACACACCGCCCGUCACACCAUGAGAGUUUGUAACACCCAAAGCCGGUGGGGUAACCUUUUGGAGCCAGCCGUCUAAGGUGGGACAGAUGAUUGGGGUGAAGUCGUAACAAGGUAUC
rnacentral:rRNA from 1 species